rnacentral:lncRNA from 1 species
GAAUGGAUUGCACACCAGGAGAAACAUACCCACCUGCCAAGACAAAGAGUGGAUUAAGAAACACAAGAUUCUCGUGCUUGAGGGUUUCCAUUUGCGACACUGGACUCUGAGAAAGGCUUGUAACUGUACAACUGUUGUGUGGCACAACAAGAAAGUGACUUCAGCCACACAGGCUUCUGCAAUGAGGAGGAAAACCCCUCAAGCUAAAGAAAGAACUCAGGCCCCGUCUCGUUGAGCACCCCACACACAUUGUCUGCAUUCUCUGAGCCUGAGCACAAGGCAGGACGGUGACACAUCCAUCUUCUUAGCCAUCCCUGAGCAGGGUCUGCUCCCCAGGACUCAGGCCUGGACUGGGCUCUUCACAUAUUUCCCCUUUCACAUCUAUAGUGAGGGGCUCUGUGACCAAGGACCUGUCAUCCUGCUGGAGAGGGA